rnacentral:rRNA from 1 species
UACGGAGGGUGCAAACGUUGCUCGGAAUCAUUGGGCGUAAAGCGCACGUAGGCGGUCCGGCAAGUCGGUGUGAAGCCCUCGGCUUAACCGAGGAAGUGCAUUCGAAACUACCGGACUUGAAUACUGGAGAGGUCGCGGAAUUCCGGUGUAGAGGUGAAAUUCGUAGAUAUUCGCAAGAACACCAGUGGCGAAGGCGGCUUACUGGUCCGGUUCUGACGCUG